AUUCAAAAUUUCGCUUUUCCCAAAACAAAGUUAAAGAAAAUAUAUGAAGUCAAUGAUAAAUCUUAAAGUUUUACAAAGAGUAAUAAAUAGAAGUUAUUAAAUGUUGGUGGCUCAUCAUGCAAUGCAUUUGAGAAGGGGAUGCUUUCAAAGUUAAGAUUGCUUUCCUGAUUCCUACAGCAAAAAAAAAACUUUAAAAUGCUGGUAGCAAUAUUUUAAAGAGUGCAUCUGAUCGAAAAGAAAGUGAAUGGCGUCAACUGUUCGAAAAUUCGAUUUUUGGAAAUUAACAAGUGGAAGAAGAAGUUUACAAAGUUGUAAUUUAUAAAACUCAGCACAAUUAUAUUAUUAAAAAAUUUAAA